UCUCGUCCGCUCAGGGUUAGUCGGGACCUAAGCCGAGGCCGAAGGGCGUAGGCGAUGGACAACAGGUUGAUAUUCCUGUACCACCUCCUCACCAUUUGAGCAAUGGGGGGACGCAGGAGGAUAGGGUAAGCGCGGUACUGGAUAUCCGCGUCCUAGCAGUUAGGCUGGGAAAUAGGCAAAUCCGUUUCCCAUAAGGCUGAGCUGUGAUGGCGAGCGAAAUAUAGUAGCGAAGUUCCUGAUUCCACACUGCCAAGAAAAGCCUCUAGCGAGGUGAGAGGUGCCCGUACCGCAAACCGUCACAGGUAGGCGAGGAGAGAAUCCUAAGGUGAUCGAGAGAACUCUCGUUAAGGAACUCGGCAAAAUGACCCCGUAACUUCGGGAGAAGGGGUGCUCUGUUAGGGUGCAAGCCCGAGAGAGCCGCAGUGAAUAGGCCCAGGCGACUGUUUAGCAAAAACACAGGUCUCUGCGAAGCCGUAAGGCGAAGUAUAGGGGCUGACGCCUGCCCGGUGCUGGAAGGUUAAGAGGAGCGCUUAGCGUAAGCGAAGGUGCGAAUUGAAGCCCCAGUAAACGGCGGCCGUAACAAUAACGGUCCUAAGGUAGCGAAAUUCCUUGUCGGGUAAGUUCCGACCCGCACGAAAGGCGCAACGAUCUGGGCACUGUCUCAACGAGAGACUCGGUGAAAUUAUAGUACCUGUGAAGAUGCAGGUUACCCGCGACAGGACGGAAAGACCCCGUGGAGCUUUACUGCAGCCUGAUAUUGAAUGUUGGUACAGCUUGUACAGGAUAGGUAGGAGCCUUGGAAACCGGAGCGCCAGCUUCGGUGGAGGCAUCGGUGGGAUACUACCCUGGCUGUAUUGACCUUCUAACCCGCCGCCCUUAUCGGGCGGGGAGACAGUGUCAGGUGGGCAGUUUGACUGGGGCGGUCGCCUCCUAAAAGGUAACGGAGGCGCCCAAAGGUUCCCUCAGAAUGGUUGGAAAUCAUUCGCAGAGUGUAAAGGCACAAGGGAGCUUGACUGCGAGACCUACAAGUCGAGCAGGGACGAAAGUCGGGCUUAGUGAUCCGGUGGUUCCGCAUGGAAGGGCCAUCGCUCAACGGAUAAAAGCUACCCCGGGGAUAACAGGCUUAUCUCCCCCAAGAGUCCACAUCGACGGGGAGGUUUGGCACCUCGAUGUCGGCUCAUCGCAUCCUGGGGCUGUAGUCGGUCCCAAGGGUUGGGCUGUUCGCCCAUUAAAGCGGUACGCGAGCUGGGUUCAGAACGUCGUGAGACAGUUCGGUCCCUAUCCGUCGCGGGCGCAGGAAAUUUGAGAGGAGCUGUCCUUAGUACGAGAGGACCGGGAUGGACGCACCGCUGGUGUACCAGUUGUUCUGCCAAGGGCAUCGCUGGGUAGCUAUGUGCGGACGGGAUAAGUGCUGAAAGCAUCUAAGCAUGAAGCCCCCCUCAAGAUGAGAUUUCCCAUUCCGCAAGGAAGUAAGAUCCCUGAAGGAUGAUCAGGUUGAUAGGUCUGAGGCGGAAGUGUGGCAACACAUGGAGCUGACAGAUACUAAUCGAUCGAGGACUUAACC
rnacentral:rRNA from 1 species